AGCUGGUCCAAGGGCAGCGGUGUUUACAACUAACUGAUCACAACCAGUUACAGAUUUCUUUGUUCCUUUUCCAUUCCCUCUGCUUCGCCUGACGAGCCUAAA
rnacentral:Y_RNA from 4 species